UGAAGAGAAGAUCCAAUAAAUGGCUUUUUCUGCUCAGUGAACUCACAACGUGUAAGUUGUUACUGAGGGAGGAAGCCUUAAAGUUAACUUUCUUCAGCAUCAGUGAGGAGCUUAAAAAAA